GUUCAAACAUAACGUAAUAAAAGAAGAAAACGCACCGGAUUCGAUUCAACCGGUGACCGGUGGUUGAAAACAAUGUAAAACUAUAAUAUCGUCAUUAUUACACCGUAACAUUAUGCGUUUCAUAUUUCGUAGUUCUACAGGAUGAUCAAAUAGCAUUUAAACGAUCCAAUCAAACUGAUUUAGAUAUACCGGUAACGUCUAAUUAAAACUUUGCGCUAAUAACGUACAUGAAAAAAAAAAAAAAAAUGCAAUUAUCGUCACGUGUUAUUUAUUGGCUGAGAUACGUUUUAUAAUACACUGUAACAAACUUUCGACACACGCACGAACUUUAAUUUUCGGUACAAUUAACAUGUGUUAUCGCGCGGUCUAACGAAAAACAAACCGUUUCCGGAGUUAAAUUUUUGUGUUGUGUGUUUUUUUUUUUUUUUUUAUGAAUAUCGAUUUUAUGGAAUAUCCAGGUUCGCGCCUGUGUCGCAGUAUACGCGGGUUAGCGACGAUACGGAUAAUUUAAUAAUCUGUACUGUACUUACGGUUUUCCGAAAAUGAACGCGAAAAAAUCAACGUCGGUGCCCGUCACUUUGACGGUAAUCGCGGUCGCCGCCC